rnacentral:rRNA from 1 species
GAACGGUAACAGAAAUCAGCUUGCUGAUUUGCUGACGAGUGGCGGACGGGUGAGUAAUGUCUGGGAAACUGCCUGAUGGAGGGGGAUAACUACUGGAAACGGUAGCUAAUACCGCAUAACGUCGCAAGACCAAAGAGGGGGACCUUCGGGCCUCUUGCCAUCGGAUGUGCCCAGAUGGGAUUAGCUAGUAGGUGGGGUAACGGCUCACCUAGGCGACGAUCCCUAGCUGGUCUGAGAGGAUGACCAGCCACACUGGAACUGAGACACGGUCCAGACUCCUACGGGAGGCAGCAGUGGGGAAUAUUGCACAAUGGGCGCAAGCCUGAUGCAGCCAUGCCGCGUGUAUGAAGAAGGCCUUCGGGUUGUAAAGUACUUUCAGCGGGGAGGAA